rnacentral:rRNA from 1 species
AAGAAACUAACCAGGAUCGCCCCUAGUAAUGGCGAAUGAAGCGGGCUGAGCUCACGCUGCCAAUCUGGAGGCCUCGCGUAUGCAGCGCCCCCCGAAUUGUGGUCUAGAGAGGCGUUAUCGGCCGCGCCCGCCGCUCAAGUCCCUUGGAACAGGGUGUCGGAGAGGGUGAGAAUCCCGUACCGUGGCGGGUUGCGGCCUUACGAUGCGUCCUCGUCGAGUCGGGUUGCUUGGGAUUGCAGCUUGAAUUGGGUGGUAAAUUCCAUCUAAAGCUAAAUACUGGCGAGAGACCGAUAGCGAACAAGUACCGUGAGGGAAAGAUGCAAAGAACUUUGAAAAGAGAGUCAAAGAGUGCUUGAAAUCGGUAGGAGGAAACCCGGAUGGGCCCGGCUUCGGCGCGCCGACUCAGCCUGGGGUUCUCCCCAGGUGCACUUCUGCGCGCCGGGUCAGCCGCGCCUCGGCGCCGCGCCUCAACCCGGGAGCGGGGCUUUACGGCCAGCUCCCGUCCUGGCGCGGCCCGGGGCCCGGCUGACGGAACGGGCCCCUCCGACCCGUCUAGAAACACGGACCAAGGAGUCUGACACGUGUGCGAGUACCCGGGUGGCAAGCCCGCGUGCGGAAUGAAAGUGAAGGGCAUGCCCUGCCAACCGACCUUGACCUGCUGUGAGGGGUUUGAGUGGAGCACACCUGUCGGGACCCGAAAGAUGGUGAACUAUGCCUGGGUAGGGUGAAGCCAGAGGAAACUCUGGUGGAGGCUCGUAGCGAUACUGACGUGCAAAUCGUUCGUCGAAUCUGGGUAUAGGGGCGAAAGACUAAUCGAACCAUCUAGUAGCUGGUUCCCUCCGAAGUUUCCCUCAGGAUAGCUUGAACGCAACGGUUUUGUCAGGUAAAGCGAAUGAUUAGAGGCCUGUGGGCUGAAACAGCUUGCACCUAUUCUCAAACUUUAAAUGGGCAAGAGGCCCGGGAUGCUUGAGUGAUCCCGGGCGGCGAACGGCGCGUUCAAAGUGGGCCAUUUUUGGUAAGCAGAACUGGCGAUGCGGGAUGAACCGAACGCCGCGCUAAGGUACCCAAGUGUCCGCUCAUCAGAUACCACAAAAGGCGUUGGUACCUCCAGACAGCAGGACGGUGGCCAUGGAAGUCGGAACCCGCUAAGGAGUGUGUAACAACUCACCUGCCGAAGGUACUAGCCCUGAAAAUGGAUGGCGCUCAAGCGGACCACCGAUGCGCGGCCGCCGGCGCGAGCGCGAGGCGCCGGCGAGUAGGAGGGCGCGGGGCUCGCGGCGCAGCCUUGGGCGCGAGCCUGGGUGAAGCGGGCCCCGGUGCAGAUCUUGGUGGUAGUAGCAAAUAUUCAAAUGAGAACUUUGAAGACUGAAGUGGAGAAAGGUUCCGUGUGAACAGCAGUUGGACACGGGUGAGCCGACCCUAAGAGACAGGAAAACUCCGCCGAACGCGGCUGGUUCUGUCAGCCCGUCCGUCGAAAGGGAAUCGGGUUAAUAUUCCCGAGCCAGCGCGUGGAUGGUGGGCGGCGACGCGAACGAACCCGGAGACGCCGGCGGGAGCCCUGGGAAGAGUUCUCUUUUCUUCUUAACUGCCUCCUGCCCUGGAAUCGGUUUAGCCGGAGCGAGGGCUACACGGCAGGCAAAGCACCCUAAGUCUUGGGGUGUCCGGCGCGCUCCCGACGGCCCGUGAAAAUCUGGGGGAGCGGUUCGUUCUCACGCCUGGUCGUACUCAUAACCGCAUCAGGUCUCCAAGGUGAACAGCCUCUAGUCGAUAGAGCAAUGUAGGUAAGGGAAGUCGGCAAAAUGGUUCCGCAACCUCGGGAGAAGGAAUGGCUCUGAAGGCUGGGCGCAGGGGUCCUAGGCUCGAGGCCGGCUGGCUGCGCGGGGACUACGGCCUCACGGCUGCGGAUCCCGCGCGGCCGUCCGGCGGACGGCCUAGGAGCGCUCCGGCUCUCCCUGCGCGACGAACAGCCGCUUCAGAACUGGCGCGGACAAGGGGAAUCCGACUGUUUAAUUAAAACAAAGCAUUGCGAUGGCCCGCGAGGGUGCUGACGCAAUGUGAUUUCUGCCCAGUGCUCUGAAUGUCAAAGUGAAGAAAUUCAACCAAGCGCGGGUAAACGGCGGGAGUAACUAUGACUCUCUUAAGGUAGCCAAAUGCCUCGUCAUCCAAUUAGUGACGCGCAUGAAUGGAUUCGUGAGAUUCCCACUGUCCCUAUCUACUGUCUAGCGAAACCACAGCCAAGGGAACGGGCUUGGAAGAAUCAGCGGGGAAAGAAGACCCUGUUGAGCUUGACUCUAGUCUGUUACUGUGGAACGACUUGAUGGGUGUAGAAUAUGCGGGAGGGGCAACCCGACAGUGAAAUACCGCAACCGUCAACGUUGUUUUACUUACUCGGUGGCGCGGAGGGAGGCUCGCCUCACUUCUGGAUCCAAGCCGCUUCGUGCGCGCGAUCCGCGUCGGGGACACUAACAGGUGGGGAGUUUGGCUGGGGCGGCACGUCUGUUAAAAAAUAACGCAGGCGCCCGAUUUUGAGCUCAAUGAGAACAGAAAUCUCAUGUGGACCGAAAGGGGAAAAGCUCGGUUGAUUUUGAUUUUCAGUACGAAUACAAACCGCGAAAGCGUGGCCUAUCGAUCCUCUCGUCUUUGGGAAUUUCAAGCUAGAGGUGUCAGAAAAGUUACCACAGGGAUAACUGGCUUGUGGCUGCCAAGCGUUCAUAGCGACGUAGCUUUUUGAUCCUUCGAUGUCGGCUCUUCCUAUCACUGCCUCGCAGCGGGGGCCAAAUGCAGGAUUGUUCACCCACCAACAGGGAACGUGAGCUGGGUUUAGACCGUCGUGAGACAGGUUAGUUUUACCCUACUGCUGUCUGUUUUUCUACGGUAAUUUGGUUCAGUACGAGAGGAACCACCAAUUCGCAUCAUCGGUAUAGCCGCCGCCGGAAACGGCGAUGCGGCGAAGCUGCCAUGCGCCGGAUUAUAACUGAACGCCUCUAAGUUAGAAUCCAUGCCGGAAGGAAAGCCACCUACCGGCCCGGGGACGCCACGAGCAACGGUAGCACUGCCUGAGCCGCGAGCGACCACAAUUCACGGACCCGGGCCGACGAAUCCCUUGCAGACGACUUG